UCAAAACUAUGGAACAACACAUAUGGAAUCAUGUAGUAUUUUGAAAGUUUGAACGUUUCUUCAAGUGCCGUCGCAAAAACCAUCAAGCACUAUGAUGAAACUGGCUCUCAUGAGGACCGCCACAAGAAAGGAAGACCCAGAGUUACCUCUGCUGCAGAGGAUACAUUUAUUAGAGUUAACUGCACAUCAGAUUCCAGCCCAAAUAAAUGCUUCAAAGAUUUUAAGUAACAGACACAUCUCAACAUCAACUGUUAAGAAGAGACUGCGUGAAUCAAGCCUUCAUGGUCGAAUUGCUGCAAAGAAACCACUACUAAAGGACACCAAUAAAAAGAAUAGCCUUGCUUGGACCAAGAAACACGAGCAAUGGACAUUAGACCGAUGGAAAUCUGUCCUUUGGCCUGAUGAGUCCCAAUGUGAGAUUUUUGGUUUCAACCGCCAUGUGAUUGUGAGACGCAGAGUAGAUGAAAGGAUGAUCUCUGUAUGUGUGGUUCCCACCAUGAAGCAUGGGGGAGGAGGUGUGAUGGUGUGGGGGAGCUUUGCCCGUGACACUGUCAGUGAUUUAGUUAGAAUUCAAGGCACACUUAACCAGCAUGGCUACCACAGCAUUCUGCAGCGAUAUGGCAUCCCAUCUGGUUUGCCCUUAGUGGGACUAUCAUUUGUUUUUCAACAGGACAAUGACCAGAAACACACCUCCAGGCUGUGUAUAGGCUAUUUGACCAAGGAGGAGAGUGAUGGAGUGCUGCAUCAGAUGACCUGGCCUCCACAAUCACCCGACCUCAAACCAAUUGAGAUGGUUUAGGAUGAGUAGGACUUCAGUGUGAAGGGAAAGCAGCCAACAAGUGCUCAGCAUAUGUGGGAACUCCUUCAAGACUGUUGGAAAAGCAUUCCAGGUGAAGAUGGUUGAGAGAAUGCCAAGAGUGUGCAAAGCUGUCAUCAAGGCAAAGGGUGGCUACUUUGAAGAAUCUCGCACUUUUUUGGUAACUAAAUAGUUUUGAUGUCUUCACUACUCUAUUCUACAAUGUAGAAAAUAGUCUAAAUAAAGAAAAACCUUUGAAAGAGUAGAUGUGUCCAAACGGUUGACUGUUACUGUAUGUCUACUGUAUGUGUAUGUGUGUGUCACCAGUACUAACCCCCACUUCUGGUAUAGACCAGCGAUGGUGAAAGUAUAUACCUUAGCUUAUCGCUAUGCUAUUAUGACUAUCAUUUGACAACAACAGGACAUGGAAGCAAACCAGGACAUAUCAACACAGCAGGCCUGCAGAGACAUACUGGGAGAAUUACUACAGGGGAGUUGGGAUAGGGGCAGGCACCAGGUAUUAAGCCACAACAUCAGAGUGACACAGAAAGGGAGCCCUGGGACCAUAUUCAAGAGAAGAACAAGGCAACACUGGGGGUGGGGCAGGGCAAAGGGCAGUAUGAGGCAGGGGGGCGUCCGAUUGGUGGGUUCGUAUGGGGGAGAGUGGGGCCUUCUCUGAGUCAGUCAGGAAUGCACCAUGCAGCUGUCACCUCAGAGAGAGAGACAGAGGUAGAGGAGGACAGGAGAAGAGAGGAGAACAGAGAGAGGAGUAGAGGAACAACAGAGCAGGUAGAAGACAGAGAGACAGAUAGGAGGAGUGAGGAUGUGGGGGACAGGAGAAGAGAGGAGAACAGAGAGAGGAGGAGAGGAACAACAGAGCAGGUAGAAGACAGAGAGACAGAUAGGAGGAGUGAGGAUGUGGGGGACAGGAGAAGAGAGGAGAACAGAGAGAGGAGGAGAGGAACAACAGAGCAGGUAGAAGACAGAGAGACAGAUAGGAGGAGUGAGGAUGUGGGGGACAGGAGAAGAGAGGAGAACAGAGAGAGGAGGAGAGGAACAACAGAGCAGGUAGAAGACAGAGAGACAGAUAGGAGGAGUGAGGAUGUGGGGGACAGGAGAAGAGAGGAGAACAGAGAGAGGAGGAGAGGAACAACAGAGCAGGUAGAAGACAGAGAGACAGAUAGGAGGAGUGAGGAUG